rnacentral:lncRNA from 1 species
GUCAUUCUAAUUCAAAAUCCAGCAAUAAACUCGCGUGUCCGGUUUUCAAGUAGCGGUUCAGAAUAGACGGAGGUUGAUUCGGGACUGAAAUUUUCCGCUAAGUAUCAAUAGCUCUGAUAAAAUUUUAAAUCCAUUUAUUUUCAAAGAGGUGAUCUAUUCACCCCCCCCUUCUCGAUCACUAGCCACACCGUCUAACAAGU